rnacentral:rRNA from 1 species
AUGAUUCCGGUCAUCGGCACCUCUCGCAUGUUGCGGAAGCCGAAGGCACCACCUAUAGAAAGGACUCGAGUCCCUCGAUCGAAAUCCCUGAUCAGACAGGAUUGCGGCGGCGCCACGACAGGUUGCCGGCCUGCAGUCCUUCUCACGGGACAAACUGCAUUCGUGGUGCGCUCUCGCUGCCUGCCGGCUUCGACGGUGUGGGCCGGGGCGCCACCCUUCGGCAGAUCCGCAAUCGAGUCGCGCGUCCGAUCUGCCGCCUCCCCUCGACGUCCACGGCUCCGUGCUCUUCCGCGACGUCCAGCGUUUCUCCCCGUUGUUUCUUUGCACGCCUAUCUCCAAGCACGAAGCCACGACGAGAUGGUCUGGUCUUGGUAUUAUGUUGAUAGUGAGGGUGCAAGGCUGAAGGGAAGCAGCUGGUUCUGUAGUUCUUUGUAUGCUUAUGGUAUCUUGGAUGAGGGUUACAAAUUCAGCUGCUGA